CCAUUUUCAAGGAAUCAUGGCUAUACAGAAUCUUUAAAUUUAUCCACAUGUUACCUUUAAGGUUCCAUGAAGAAGAACCAUCUGUCUUACUCAGAUCCAUGAAACUGGACAAGAGUUGAAGUGUGCGAAAUGAAAGAGGAAGCAUGAAGAUUCUGGAUAGAGGAUUCCGCACUGCAUACGAAGGAACAGUUACUACAUAAAUGUCAACCAAAGGCAAGAUGGAAACAAGAGAUGAUCUUGAAUCUUAUCUAAAUAUGUAAUAUUGUCACUAAUCAGCAGUAGCUCAGCUCCACUGUCCUGAUUUAGAGAGCUCUGGAGCCCAAUUUCAACUCAGAGAAGUGCAGUUCAAGCAAUGAAAAGAUUCAGUGUAACUGAUAUACUCUAGUUGGUCCUUGGUGGAUCUUGGAAAGUCUCCAAAAGAGCCACAGUUUGGGAAGUUAACUGCAUAGGGACCCAAUUACAGCUAAAAAAUACAUGGGUGCCAAGCUGAAGGGACACGAAUUUAUUUCCUAAAUCUGCUAAAAAAAAAAAAAAAGUUGGGGUCUGCUGAACUACUCACCAUCCAUCAAUUUUCUCUGAAUGUUCAAGGAAAUUUUAAAUGAAAGAAAAAUUUCAAUUAAUAAUAUAAAAAAUAAGAGAAGGACAAGAUCUGAAAGAAAGGGUUUUAACUUUCUAGUCUGACAUUUACUUUUCAUUGGAGCGAAAUAGAUGCCAGCAACAGAGAAAACACCCCAGCCAGCGGCUCAUUUUCUUUGAGGAGAACGUGUUUUUCUUAAAAUGGUUUCUCUGGUGCUCAUGGGUUUAAGAACUUUAGUAAAAAAGACAGGAUCCUAGAGAUGGAAAAACACCCAUCUUCAAAGCUGCAAGAGUUGGAGUCUCACCAACAUUUUUGCAAUUAAAAAAAA